GGCUCCCUGUGGGAGGAGAGAAGAGGGCAGAGAUUGUGGUCAGCUCCCUGGGCCCCUCGGGAGAAGGCAGGGCCUGGCCAAGGCGGGAGGCUGAGCCUGGAGCAGUGAGCCCCAAAGUCCACUGUGAGGUCUGCGCUCCUAACAUCCCAAACUGCUCCCCUGCAGGGUGAUGCCAAGGCCUGAGCACCCCCCUUAUGCAGCCACCCACCCAGGCCCCACUCCUUGGGGGAGUCGGCAGGGCAGGGGGUCCCUCUUGCCCCUCCUGCCCGCCCCCCACUGCCAAGCACACUGGACACGUGCUCAACACUCUCAAUGUCACAAAGCAGCGUUCCUCAGACACCUGCGGGUGCACCUGCUCUGGGGCCAGAGGCCUGAGCUUACAUGCCACGCACAGCAGGGCCUGGGUCUGUGACUUUCAGCUAGUGACUACGCUGCCUGGGCCUCAGUGCCCUCGGCUGUACCAUGGGGACAUCAGUGCUUCCUCGCAGCAGCGGCGGCGGCAACACCAAUAGCAUGUCUGGGUCAAGCUUUGGGCCCCACGCUUGGCUCCUGGCACCUGCCUGACACAGUAGGUCUCAUGCGGUCCUAUAGGCUGUGGUGCGGUGACAGGACCAUGCUCGGGCCAGAUGUGACGGUGGCGCCAUCCUCCCGCCUCUGAGUCCUCCAUCUCCCCACCUGCAGAGUGGGACCGGAGCAGGGUCUACAGAAUGAAGACUGACCCCGGCCAUCUGCAAGAAGCCCCACGUGCACUACAAGCCCCACAUGGGCAGUCGAGAAAGUCCAGAGCACGCUGACCGUCUACCAAAGGUCCUUAAAUCCUUUGCACCUGCUGAUCCCGCCGCCUGGAAAUGCCCUUCCUGUCCCACCCACCUGGGGAGGGGCAGCAGAUGCAUCACGUGACUUCAAAGUAGGCCACAUUCCACAUCCAGUCCCCAGCGACUGGACCUUGGGCCACGACACUCCGAACAGCACAGCAGAGAGGAGAUGCUGGGAUGUUCAAAGGCUGAUGCGGUUGUCCAGGCAACAGCUGGGUGAGGGGGGAGGUUGGAGGUGGGAGGGGCAAGAGGGGUGGAGAGAAGCAGACAGACUUGGGGAUAUGUUUUGUAGGUAGAGUCAAAACAGCAAGAAUAAAAUCUAGAGCAGGCAUCCCAGUUCCUCCAGCUUGUGUUCACAUGAGAUGAGCAGGUGGGGCUCCUGGAAGGGGGGAAGGGCAUCCCCCAUAUCCACAGCCCAUGAGGUGCCAGGUCUUACACCUG